rnacentral:miRNA from 1 species
UAACCCAAUCACGAAAAUGGCUGA